rnacentral:tRNA from 1 species
GUAUAAAUAGUUUAUUGAGAAUAAUAAUUUGUGGUAUUAUUGGUGUAAUUUAUUUACUUUAGACC